CCCAGCCCCCUCACUUCUCUCUGCAGGUUACACCACCCCCAACCUGGACCCCAUCCAAUAGGCUCGUGGUCCCUGAUGGUCCUGGACCACUGAUUUGAGGCCUUUCUGCUUCCUUUGAUUCAGUCUUUGGCAGAGACCCAGGAGCAGGAGUCCUUGAUGGCACCUGGCCCUUUCUAGUCACCGACAAGGGAAACCUGAGAAACCAUUCUCAGAAAUGGAACUAAAUUAUGCCAGACUCAUCAACAAAGGCCCACUUGUUCCUUGGGAUUUGUGUCUUGAUGCAUUCUCAAAGAGAGGUUUCCAGGGCACCAGUCACCUGCAGCUCACCUGAAGAUGGCACAUGGCAUGUCGCUGUGCCCCCCUCCCCAUCCAUGUGCUCUACCUGGCAACUUGUUUCUCCCCACCUGAAAGUUGACCUGAGAUGAAACUUGCUAAGGCCUCCUAAGACGAUGUUGCUGGAUGUCCCCUGCUGACCCCACAGACUGGCUCCUCUGGUGUCCGCUGACUUGGCCUGGUGAGAAGGGCAGGGCCAGGCCCUUCCCUGUCUCGACCUGCAUUCCCACCCAACACAGCAAGCUAUUUUGAAAAAACUUCUCUAUCAGUUCUUGUGAGUUAUUUGUCUAAUAAACAACAUUGUGAAAAUGAAGCAUUCAUGUAUUUGUAUAUUGACAAGAGAUAACCAAUUCCCUCAACAAUUUUACAAUUUCAAAUUAGGAUAACAUCCUUUUUUGGAGCUC
rnacentral:lncRNA from 1 species